rnacentral:tRNA from 1 species
GCGGGUGUAACUCAGUGGUAGAGUGUUUGCUUCCCAAGCAAAAAGUCGGGGGUUCGAAUCCCCUCUCCCGCUCCA